rnacentral:snRNA from 1 species
AUACCUUAAUGGGAGAAAUACCAUGUUAUCGAAAUGAUUUUCCUAGGGAGAUGCUUAUCCAUUGUAUUUUGGUAUGCUGUUAAACCCUGUGAUUUCCCUAAAUAUGGGGAACUCAACUAUAUAAUUUAUGUUAAUAGGGCCAU